rnacentral:rRNA from 1 species
UCUUUUCGACCCCCCCUGUGCCCUUCCGCGUGGGCUGCGGGGACUUCGGUUGCCGUGCCCGCGAUUUUAUUCCCUUUUUGUAUGUUUCAGAAAGUUUUUGCGUGUUGCGCAUUUAAUUCCACUUUCAACAACGGAUUUUUUGGCUUUUGCAUUGAAGAAGAAACGCAGCGAAAUGCGAUAAGUAAUGUGAAUUGCAGAAUUCAGUGAAUCAUCGAAUCUUUGAACGCACCUUGCGCCCCUUGGUAUUCCGAGGGGCACACCUGUUUGAGUGUCGUGAAUUUCUCAACUCCGCCUCCUUUGCGGGAGCGCGGGGCUUGGAGUUGGAGGCUUGCGGGCGUAAGUCCGCUCCUCUCAAAUGCAUUAGUGAAGCCCAGGUGGCCUCGGCGUGAUAAUUGUCUACGUCCAAGGUUGUCUGUAGCGGUUUUCGCUUCUAACCGUCCUUCGGGACAAUUCAUCGAAACUUGACCUCAGAUCAGGUGG